AUGGCCUGGACUCCUCUGCUCCUCGCGCUCCUCUCUCACUGCACAGGGUCCCUCUCCCAGCCUGUGCUGACUCAGCCUCCCUCCCUCUCUGCAUCUCUGGGAGCCACAGCCAGAGUCACCUGCACCCUGAGCAGUGGCUUCAAUGUUGGUAUAUACAGGAUAACCUGGCACCAGCAGAAGCCAGGGAGCCCUCCCCGGUACCUCCUGAACUACUACUCAGACUCAGAUAAGGGCCAAGGAUCCGGGGUGCCCAGCCGCUUCUCUGGAUCCAAAGACACCUCGGCCAAUGCGGGGCUCCUGCUCAUCUCGGGGCUGCAGCCUGAGGACGAGGCUGACUAUUACUGCGCUUCAUAUCAUAGCAAUGGUCACAGUGAUUCAGAUGAUGAGGAAGUGAGACCAAAACCCCUGGGACCAGAAGUGAUGACUGUCUGUUCUUAG